ACAAAUAAUAAGAGUGUGUAAACAAAUCGGAUUCAAAAUACCAAUUGGUAGAUCUGUAGCAAGUAAAAAACAAGAAUUGGAAUAAUAAGAGAACUAAACUUGGAUUAUGAAUUAUGAAAAGAAAGAGGAACUUACAAGAAUAAUAAUGAGAUUGAAAGGAAAAAAGAAAUAAGAGAAGGGUAGUUUGUGUAGGCAAUAUAGAGUUCCUGGGAAGAAG
rnacentral:lncRNA from 1 species